GGAUGCCCCGGCGCGCCAGCCGGAUGGCGCGAAACUCAAGGCGGCGGCGGCGGCUUGUGGUACCGUGCAGCUGGCCUCAUCGACGUAUGGCCGAGUAAACUGCGCCCGCGGCAUGGCCGGCGACCUCUCCUUCGUCCAUUGGAAGUGCCACCAGACCUUGCCAGAGAGACUGCUGAGGACGGAGCUUCGAAGCGGACAAGGAAAUGCCUGCUCUGCUCCAUUGACUUCCCAGAUGCAUAAUUGGUGGUGACUUGCAGGCUAGCGUAUAUCCUGGCCUAUGGUAAGUGCUCAGUUUACAGAUGGCUGGAUCUGCUCCUCGAUCUAGCAGGAUGGACGUAGCUACCUACUUGAUUCAAAUCAUUACUUUGCUUCCUCUGCCAGAGCCUGGGGUUGAAGUUGGGAUUCUGCAUCUGGUCGGCCCUCAAUCACAGGCAAGGGAUGGCCAUGGUUUUUCCGCUUCAGAGUUGAGCUGGAUGCCCGCCCAGUGCACGAGUCUCCUGAACACGAUGAGCAUGCCGUGGUCUGUCGUCUGUUCCAGCAGCAACGUUCAUACAUUGUUGUCCACUACUCCAGUGCAGCAGCAGCCCGAAAAUAAUGGAGAGCUGGGUGGGAAGAUCAAAUCAAGGACCCCGGCAGUUACUGGAAGUUCUAGGUUGCAGCUUAAGGAGGCCAUUCGAUGAGUGUUCUUCUCUGGCACACCACCAUGGAUUUCUGCUUCUACUACAUGGGCGCAACAGCAGAUCACCGAUGUACCGCUGCUCGGUGUAUUCACGACGCCUCUGGUGAAGGCCGUGGGUGUGCUGCCUGGUGUGGAAGAUCUCCUCACCACGGUAGAUCCUCAAGGAUGACAAGACAGUCCAUGGAAGGUGAUUGAGGGCGUGUGGGUGGAGAUGCUCUGCGUCUCCUCGGCCAGUAGGUGAUGAGGGUACCUACACGCCAAGAGUUUGGGCACCACGGAGGGGAGCUCGGGUCAGCACUGCGAAGCCCUCUUCUGAAAAUUGAUGUUUCUCUACUCUGCAUUUGCUUAUUUGUGGAAGCCUUUUGUAGUUCAUACAUUGUGGUGUUCCAUUUGUCGCUGUUCCAAGUUGGAGAUAU